CCCGAACCCGAACCCGAACCCG
rnacentral:siRNA from 1 species